rnacentral:rRNA from 1 species
GUGGAUUAGAUACCCUGGUAGUCCACGCCGUAAACGAUGGAUACUAGCUGUUGGAGGUAUCGACCCCUCCAGUAGCGAAGCUAACGCGUUAAGUAUCCCGCCUGUGGAGUACGGUCGCAAGACUAAAACAUAAAGGAAUUGACGGGGACCCGCACAAGCGGUGGAUUGUGUUCUUUAAUUCGAUGAUAAACGAUGAACCUUACCAGGGUUUGACAUCCCGAGAAUUACUCCGAAAGGAGUGAGUGCUUUAUUGAACUCGGUGACAGAUCUUGCAUGGCCGUCGCCAACU